rnacentral:rRNA from 1 species
CCUACGGGAGGCUGCAGUGAGGAAUAUUGGUCAAUGGGCGAUAGCUUGAACCAGCGAAGUAGCGUGAAGGAUGACUGCCCUAUGGGUUGUAAACUUCUUUUUUAUGGGAAUAAAGUGCAGUAUGUAUACUGCUUUGCAUGUACCUUAUGAUUAAGGAUCGGCUAACUCCGGGACAGCCGCCGCGGUAAUAUGGAGGAUCCGAGCGUUAUCCGGAUUUAAUGGGUUGAAAGGCAUCGUAGGCGGGUUGUUAAGUCAGUUGUGAAAGUCUGCGGCUCAACCGUAAAAUUGCAGUUGAUACUGGCAUCCUUGAGUACAGUAGAGGUAGGCGGAAUUCGAGGUGUAGCGGUGAAAUGCUUAGAUAUAACGAAGAACACCGAUUGCGAAGGCAGCCUGCUGGACUGUAACUGACGCUGAUGCACGAAAGUGUGGGGAUCAAACAGGAUUAGAUACCCGAGUAGUC